AAAUAUACUAAACAUACUGAACUGCACACUUUAAAUGGGAGAGUUUUAUGGGCUCGCAGUCAAAAUGAACAUUUGCUCAGUGGAUUCAUGACUAGCCUGUUUCAUCAGACGCCAUAUAUGCUGAGGUUAACCAAACUCGUGAGCAAGCAUAUACUUCAAACAAGAUGAGCAAACGACACACACAGCCAGCCACACCCGUGCACUCCUGAUUCAUGGAACCAAGAGGACAAGAAGAUUCUGCAGAGAGACAGGUGGCCUUCCCAGAUCUUCCCCUCCAGAUCUCACCUGAUGCCCUGCUCUCUUUAGAGCUCACCUCCAUGGAAUCUGGACACAGGGCCCAGCCCAUCUUCCUGGUCAAGAGUUAAGCAGUUGAACAGAAACAGAGAAGCAGCAGGUUUGGGGCUUCUGAGGCCAAUCCAAAGGAAGCAGGAGAUGGAGAGAAAGAAGAGGGAAAGAAGAAGAGAGGCAGACAAAGAGAAAGAGACAGAGACAGAGAGAGACAGACAAACAGAGAUACAGAGAGACCGAACCAGACAGAGAUGGAGAGCGAGGCGAGCCCGGGCGACAACAGGGCUGGGGAGCUUUCCUCAGUGGUGUUCUUCAGGUGCAGAGUUUGAAUAAAAAUGCAAAACAGGAUGCUCCCAUUC
rnacentral:lncRNA from 1 species